GAUGAAGAACGCAGCGAAAUGCGAUAAGUAAUGUGAAUUGCAGAAUUCAGUGAAUCAUCGAAUCUUUGAACGCACAUUGCGCCCCUUGGUAUUCCGAGGGGCAUGCCUGUUCGAGCGUCAUUAUAACCCCUCAAGCUCAGCUUGGUGUUGGGGCCUGCUGCACUGGCAGCCCUUAAAAUCAGUGGCGGCGCCAUCUGGCUCUAAGCGUAGUAAUUCUUCUCGCUAUGGAGUCCUGGUGGAUGCUUGCCAUCAACCCCAAAUUUUUCUAUGGUUGACCUCGGAUCAGGUAGGGAUACCCGCUGAACUUAAGCAUAUCAAUAAGCGGAGGA
rnacentral:misc_RNA from 1 species